GGAGAACACCAGUGGCGAGGCGGCUGUCUGGUCUGUAACUGACGCUGAGGCUCGAAAGUAUGGGUAGCAAACAGGAUUAGAUACCCUGGUAGUCCAUACCGUAAACGAUGAAUGCUAAGUGUUGGAGGGUUUCCGCCCUUCAGUGCUGCAGCUAACGCAUUAAGCAUUCCGCCUGGGGAGUACGGCCGCAAGGCUGAAACUCAAAGGAAUUGACGGGGGCCCGCACAAGCGGUGGAGCAUGUGGUUUAAUUCGAAGCUACGCGAAGAACCUUACCAGGUCUUGACAUACUAUGCAAAUCUAAGAGAUUAGACGUUCCCUUCGGGGACAUGGAUACAGGUGGUGCAUGGUUGUCGUCAGCUCGUGUCGUGAGAUGUUGGGUUAAGUCCCGCAACGAGCGCAACCCUUAUUAUUAGUUGCCAGCAUUAAGUUGGGCACUCUGGUGAGACUGCCGGUGACAAACCGGAGGAAGGUGGGGAUGACGUCAAUCAUCAUGCCCCUUUGGCCUUGGGCUACGUGGGCCUGGAUGACUG
rnacentral:rRNA from 1 species